rnacentral:rRNA from 1 species
AUUGAACGCUGGCGGCAGGCCUAACACAUGCAAGUCGAACGAGUGGCGGACGGGCGGGUAAUGUCUGGGAAACUGCCUGACGGAGGCGUAUAACUACUGGAAACGGUAGCUACUACCGCAUACCAUCCGCUCUGCCCUGAGGGGAUUAGCUAGUAGGUGGGGUAAAGGCUCACCUAGGCGAAGAUGCCUAGCUGGUCUGUGAGGAUGACCGGCCACACUGGAACUGAGACACGGCCCAGACUCCUACGGGAGGCAGCAGUGGGGAAUAUUGCGCAAUGGGCGCAAGCCUGAUGCAGCCAUGCCGCGUGUGUGAAGAAGGCCUUCGGGUUGUAAAGUACUUUCGGCGGAGAAGCGGUACCUAAAGAGGAAGCACCGGCUAACUCCGUGCCAGCAGCCGCGGUAAUUC